rnacentral:rRNA from 1 species
GAGGCCGAAAGGCGUAGUCGAUGGGAAACGGGUUAAUAUUCCCGUACUUGGUGUUACUGCGAAGGGGGGACGGAGAAGGCUAUGUUGGCCGGGCGACGGUUGUCCCGGUUUAAGCGUGUAGGUGUGUGUUCCAGGUAAAUCCGGUUCACUUUAACACUGAGGCGUGACGACGAGGCACUACGGUGCUGAAGCAACAAAUGCCCUGCUUCCAGGAAAAGCCUCUAAGCAUCAGGUAACAUCAAAUCGUACCCCAAACCGACACAGGUGGUCAGGUAGAGAAUACCAAGGCGCUUGAGAGAACUCGGGUGAAGGAACUAGGCAAAAUGGUGCCGUAACUUCGGGAGAAGGCACGCUGACAUGUAGGUGAAGUGAUUUACUCAUGGAGCUGAAGUCAGUCGAAGAUACCAGCUGGCUGCAACUGUUUAUUAAAAACACAGCACUGUGCAAACACGAAAGUGGACGUAUACGGUGUGACGCCUGCCCGGUGCCGGAAGGUUAAUUGAUGGGGUCAGCGCAAGCGAAGCUCCUGAUCGAAGCCCCGGUAAACGGCGGCCGUAACUAUAACGGUCCUAAGGUAGCGAAAUUCCUUGUCGGGUAAGUUCCGACCUGCACGAAUGGCGUAAUGAUGGCCAGGCUGUCUCCACCCGAGACUCAGUGAAAUUGAACUCGCUGUGAAGAUGCAGUGUACCCGCGGCAAGACGGAAAGACCCCGUGAACCUUUACUAUAGCUUGACACUGAACAUUGAGCCUUGAUGUGUAGGAUAGGUGGGAGGCUUUGAAGUGUGGACGCCAGUCUGCAUGGAGCCGGCCUUGAAAUACCACCCUUUAAUGUUUGAUGUUCUAACGUGGACCCGUGAUCCGGGUUGCGGACAGUGUCUGGUGGGUAGUUUGACUGGGGCGGUCUCCUCCUAAAGAGUAACGGAGGAGCACGAAGGUUGGCUAAUCCUGGUCGGACAUCAGGAGGUUAGUGCAAUGGCAUAAGCCAGCUUGACUGCGAGCGUGACGGCGCGAGCAGGUGCGAAAGCAGGUCAUAGUGAUCCGGUGGUUCUGAAUGGAAGGGCCAUCGCUCAACGGAUAAAAGGUACUCCGGGGAUAACAGGCUGAUACCGCCCAAGAGUUCAUAUCGACGGCGGUGUUUGGCACCUCGAUGUCGGCUCAUCACAUCCUGGGGCUGAAGUAGGUCCCAAGGGUAUGGCUGUUCGCCAUUUAAAGUGGUACGCGAGCUGGGUUUAGAACGUCGUGAGACAGUUCGGUCCCUAUCUGCCGUGGGCGCUGGAGAACUGAGGGGGGCUGCUCCUAGUACGAGAGGACCGGAGUGGACGCAUCACUGGUGUUCGGGUUGUCAUGCCAAUGGCACUGCCCGGUAGCUAAAUGCGGAAGAGAUAAGUGCUGAAAGCAUCUAAGCACGAAACUUGCCCCGA